GCGGACGGGUGAGUAACGCGUGGGUAACCUGCCCUGUACAGGGGGAUAACAGUUAGAAAUGACUGCUAAUACCGCAUAAGCGCACGGGACCGCAUGGUCCGGUGUGAAAAACUCCGGUGGUAUGAGAUGGACCCGCGUCUGAUUAGUUAGUUGGCGGGGUAGCGGCCCACCAAGACGACGAUCAGUAGCCGACCUGAGAGGGUGACCGGCCACAUUGGGACUGAGACACGGCCCAAACUCCUACGGGAGGCAGCAGUGGGGAAUAUUGCACAAUGGGGGAAACCCUGAUGCAGCGACGCCGCGUGAGUGAAGAAGUAUUUCGGUAUGUAAAGCUCUAUCAGCAGGGAAGAAGUUGACGGUACCUGAGUAAGAAGCCCCGGCUAACUACGUGCCAGCAGCCGCGGUAAUACGUAGGGGGCAAGCGUUAUCCGGAUUUACUGGGUGUAAAGGGAGCGUAGACGGCAGUGCAAGUCUGAAGUGAAAGCCCCGGGCUUAACCCGGGAACUGCUUUGGAAACUGUACGGCUGGAGUGCUGGAGAGGUAAGCGGAAUUCCUAGUGUAGCGGUGAAAUGCGUAGAUAUUAGGAGGAACACCAGUGGCGAAGGCGGCUUACUGGACAGUAACUGACGUUGAGGCUCGAAAGCGUGGGGAGCAAACAGGAUUAGAUACCCUGGUAGU
rnacentral:rRNA from 1 species